rnacentral:lncRNA from 1 species
CUGGAAGUGCUAGCUCACGAAGACACUAUGCUUUGGCUGAUUUAAGAAGAAUAUGAAGAAGAUGAAGAACAAAGAGACCUUUUUCUUUUCUUCCUAGAUCUAUGCAUCAAAUCUCUACGAUAGAGAUGAAGAGAAGAACCUUUUCUUCUCAAUUCUCCUACGCAUAAGAGAGAAUCUUUCUCUUCUCCUUUCAUACCUUUAAGAAGAACUUUUUUUUUAAUUUUUUAUGAUA